AACGAACGCUGGCGGCAUGCCUAACACAUGCAAGUCGAACGAAGCCUUCGGGCUUAGUGGCGCACGGGUGCGUAACGCGUGGGAAUCUGCCCUUUGGUUCGGAAUAACAGUUGGAAACGACUGCUAAUACCGGAUGAUGACGAAAGUCCAAAGAUUUAUCGCCAGAGGAUGAGCCCGCGUAGGAUUAGCUAGUUGGUGUGGUAAAGGCGCACCAAGGCGACGAUCCUUAGCUGGUCUGAGAGGAUGAUCAGCCACACUGGGACUGAGACACGGCCCAGACUCCUACGGGAGGCAGCAGUGGGGAAUAUUGGACAAUGGGCGAAAGCCUGAACCAGCGAUGCCGCGUGAGUGAUGAAGGCCCUAGGGUUGUAAAGCUCUUUUACCCGGGAUGAUAAUGACAGUACCGGGAGAAUAAGCCCCGGCUAACUCCGUGCCAGCAGCCGCCGUAA
rnacentral:rRNA from 1 species